rnacentral:rRNA from 1 species
UACAGAGGGUGCUAGCGUUGUUCGGAAUCAUUGGGCGUAAAGGGCGUGUAGGCGGUUUGUUAAGUCAUGUGUGAAAUCCCUCGGCUCAACCGGGGAACGACGCAUGAAACUGGCAAGCUAGAGUACCAAAGAGGGGGGUGGAAUUCCCGGUGUAGCGGUGAAAUGCGCAGAUAUCAGGAGGAACACCGGUGGCGAAGGCGGUUCUCUGGGCCUGAUACUGACGCUGGAGGAACGAAAGCGUGGGGAGCGAACAGG